rnacentral:rRNA from 1 species
UACAGAGGGGGCAAGCGUUAUUCGGAAUUAUUGGGCGUAAAGAGCGCGCAGGCGGCUGGUCAAGUCCGAUGUGAAAGCUCCCGGCUUAACUGGGAAAUUGCAUCGGAAACUGAUCGGCUGGAAGGUGGGAGAGGGUAGCGGAAUUCCCGGUGUAGUGGUGAAAUGCGUAGAUAUCGGGAGGAACACCAGUGGCGAAAGCGGCUACCUGGCCCAUUCUUGACGCUGAGGCGCGAAAGCUAGGGGAGCAAACGGG